CCUCAUUCAUUAAGCAAGAGGUAGCUACAGAACCUGGAAAACUGAACAUUUAAUAUCCAGAGUCCCAUAGAUCGGAGAGCGGCUGAGCAGAGGUAAUGAGAAUGCUAGGCUUGGGUGGGAGAGUCACUGGACAGUGAAAGGGCCCAGAGAGGAACACUUUACAUUAGACUAGAUUCUUUAAAUGAUGUGUACCUAUAGGAGAAUACCUGCUAUGUUUUCUCACAGUUAGCAGGCUGAUAUACACAGGAUUUCUCAUGGUUUUCUGUUGAGACGUGCUCAGUCUCCAGCCUUUACUGAGGCCGUGUCUCCCUGUGGCAGUAUAUCAGCUCCACUAUAAAUGACUCCACAAAUAAUAUGGAAUGGACUCACUGCAGGACAUUGUAUCACCCUUCACACUCACAUUCUGUUCGAAUCUCUAGCUAUAGUAACACCGCAAUGCUUCAUUUCUCCAUAGUUGCUGAUAUGGAUUAAUUUUUGUGAAAUACUGGAUUGUGUUCUACAUCCUGAGUACGAGAAUACCUAACAAACAUUCAUUUAUCAUGUUUAUAUGGAAGAUACUGGACCGAUUUUGGGGGCUGGGGGGUGGAUUGCAGUUUUCUUAUUUUAAGAGUAACUUACUGUUUGGGAAACGUUGUUCCCCCCUGUUUGAUAUGUCUCCUAAAAGUAAAUAUAUAUAUUUAAAAACAAUGGGCAGCCCAAGGUUGUUUACAAAGUCAUAUUAAUACUGCUUUAUGCAGCUAUUUUACCUCCGUUAGAUGAAACCUCCAUACACAGCGUUAUUUAAAGGACCACUAUAGUGCCCUGAGGGUGUCCUCACCCUCAGGGUCCCCCUCCCGCCAGGCUUUAGGGGGAGGAAGGGGUUAAACUUACCUCUUUCUCCAGCGUCGUGCGGAGAGCUCUCCUCCUCAUCUUCGGCUGAAUGCGCAUGCGCAGCAGGAGCCGCGCGCGCAUUCAACCAGUCCAUAGGAAAGCAUUCUCAAUGCUUUUCUAUGGACACUGGCGUCUUCUCACUGUGAGUGAGAGGGUGGUGGGGUUGUGAUGCUGAGGGUGGUGAUGCUGAGGGUGGUGAUGGUGAGGGGGGUGGUGCUGAGGGUGGUGGGGGAGGGUGAGGUUGAAGGGAGGGUGUGAGGCUGAAGGGGGUGGUGAGGCUGAGGGUGGUGGGGGGUGAUACUGAGGGUGGUGGGGGUGGGUGAGGCUGAGGGGGUGGUGGGUGGUGAGGCUGAAGGGGGUGAGGCUAAGGGGAAGGGGUGGUGAGGCUGAGGGUGAAGGGGGGGUGAGGCUGAGGGUGAAGGGGAGGUGGUGAGGCUAAGGGUGGUGGGGGUGGUGAGGCGGGGGGUGAAGGGGGAUGGUGAGGCUGAAGUGAGGAGGGUGAGAGAGAACCUACCUUUUCUUCCCUGGUGGUCCAGUGGGCUCCCUGGUGGUCCGGCCAUUAUGUAAUCUCGCGAGACCAUCAGAGCGGCAACGCGGAGCUGGUGUCUGCAUUGGCUGGCCCGGCAGCCAGGAGGGGCCUCGCAUCCGGCGGCAUACCAGGCAAGCCGCCGAGCCCCCUCCUGGUGUCGGGUCCUCGGUCACUGACCGAGGACCUGACACAGUGCGCCCACAGGUGGUUUAGGCGGCCGCAAGGCCCCAGCCAGUGCGAGGCCUUAGGCGGCUGCCUAAACCACCUAAUUAGAGAGCCGCCUCUGCUGCUAUGUUUAUAGAAAAAAGGGUUAAUCCUAGAUGGACCUGGCACCCAGACCACUUCAUUAAGCUGAAGUGGUCUGGGUGCCUACAGUGGUCCUGUUAGGUCUCCCCCUCCUGUGGGUCACUUUGCCACAGAUUCCGGUGACCCGUGUCAUUCUGGGCUCAUUAUGGACACUGGUUGCUGUAAACCCACUGGGUUGUCCUGUGUAAAUAUAAACGCCCACGUGCCUGCAUCACCUGUGAAACAUUAUGUCUGUACUGGUUUAGUGUUGCAGAAAUGACACCAACCUCUCAGACUAUCUCUAAGGCCAUAUAAACCCAUUCUGCUGGUUGUGCCGUGCUCUGUUAAGGAGAUCUCACAGUGAAUUCUGUUCGUUGUGUCUCUAGGUAUUUUGACUCCAGCUAGUUCCUCCAUUCGCCAUUGCGUACCCCUUGACCCAUUUAACCUCUCCCUGUGCCUGUUUCUUAUCUCUGUGUUAAGCCUGGCCAAAUCUAAGGACUGGUAAUAUGAAUCUGCGUGUUGGACGGGGGUAGUAUCAUGGCGGUCGGGGAUAUUGGGACUAACCCUGUCCCCGCACUGUUAGUGUUCCCCCAGUGAUCAUUUUAUGACAAUAUUUUUCAGUAAUAUAUUCUUUAUAUCAUCGGCUGCGAGAGAGAGAAAUCAUCCAUUAGAUACUACUAUUUUACACAUAUACGCUUAAUAAAGUCAGCUUGCAAAGCACUAUUUUUCACCUAUUGUCCCACCUUUGAGCACUGUUUGUUCUGGUUUAAUUUUUGUGUUUUGAUGUAAUUCCUGUGACACAUAUUGCUGUGUUACUGAUAUAGAAAUAUGAUUACACUAAUUUUCAUACCAACUCUAUGCAAAUUUACACAUGUCCAUUCUGUCAACAGAGGGCUCUGCAGAGUUAUUACACUGUAAAUGCAUAAUUUGUAAAUCACCUGCUACCGUCACAGGAACAACCUACACAAUCUAUACAAAGUUAGAAUUAGAGCUAAGAUUACGAUUAGGUUUAGGAUUAGAGCUAGGAUUAGGGUUAGAAUAAGAACUAGGGUUAGAAUUACAUAUAGGAUUGUGGUUAGAUUUAGGAUUAGAGCUAAGGUUGCGGUUAGAAGUAGAGCAAGUAUUAGUGGUAGGGUUGGGAUGUGAUUAGAGCUAGGAUUAGGGUUACAAUUAAAGCAAGGAUUAUGGUUAGGUUUAAAAUUAGAGCUAGGAUUAGAAUAAGAACUAAGGUUAGAAUUACAGCUAGGAUUGUGGUUAGGUUUAGGAUUAGAGUUGGGAUCACAGUUACAAUUAGAGCUUGGCUUAGAUUUAGAAGUAGAGCUAAGAUCAUGAUUAGAGCUAGGGUUGGGUUUAAGAUUAGAGCUAGGAUUAGGGUUACAUUUAGAGCUAGUUUUAGUAUUAGAGUUAGGAUUAGGGUUACAAUUAGAGCUGGGUUAGGUUAAGUAUUAGAAAUAGGAUCAGGGUUACAGUUAGAGAUAGUUUUAGUAUUAGAGCUAGGAUUAGGGUUAGAAUUAGAGCUUGGAUUAGGGUUACAAUUAUUUAGAGCUAGGGUUAGUUUUACUAUUAGAGCUAGGAUUAGGGUUACAAUUAGAGCUUGGAUUAGGGUUACAAUUAGAGAUUGGGUUAGUUUUAGUAUUAGAGCUAGGAUUAGGGUUAAAAUUAGAGCUAGGGUUAGUUUUAGUAUUAGAGCCAGGAUCAGGGUUACAGUUAGAGCUAGUUUUAGUAUUAGAGCUAGGAUUAGGGUUACAAUUAGUGCUAGGGUUAGUUUUAGUAUUAGAGCUAAGUUUGGGGUUACAAUUAGAGCUUGGAUUAGGGCUACAAUUAGAGCUAGGGUUAGUUUUAGUAUUAGAGCUAGGAUUAGGGUUACAAAUAGAGCUAGGGUUAGUUUUAGUAUUAGAGCUAGGAUCAGGGUUACAGUUAGAGCUAGUUUUAGUAUGAGAGCUAGGAUUAGGGUUACAAUUAGAGCUUGGAUUAGGGUUACAAUUAGAGCUAGGGUUAGUUUUAGUAUUAGAGCUAGGAUUAGGGUUACUGUGACGAGCAAUCUCGCCCCAUUUCAUUGGAGCAGCCUGGUUGCUCGCCUGUUGCCUCUGGACUAUGGCCCCAUGGUAAAACUUGUAUUUUCCCCUGCAGAAAGGCUUGCUCGUUCCUUUCUGCCAGGGUGUUCGGUAAAUUCUAUGUACCGAACAAACGCACGAAUGACUGGAGCACCUGGGAGCUGGAGUGUGUCGGCGAUUUACCUCCCUGAAGCUGCGGUUAACCGCAGCUUAAUUGACAAUCACUGGGUGGUCGCGGUUACAUCUAGCCUCCACACGAUGGCGGUGUUAUGGAAGCCCCCCCCCAGGUAGUCAGCUCUUGUUCUACCCAGCGGCAGGACACCAAAAGCGGACACUUUGUCUUCCAAGCACCCCUGAGGCUGGAGGUCUGCAAACCCGUUCGGGAACCGAACAGCGGAGCAUUCGGGACUUUUAGUGUUGCAAUGUAUUCAGUGUAAAAGUACCCAGAUAGCCUGCCAUGGAGCCUGUUCGUGGAAUUAAAGACUUUAGCUCCAUGGCGAUUGAACUGUAUUUGUGUGGUCUGAGCACCAUUCGCUUAAUAAUGUGCGCUCAGACCUGGGCUAUCUGGGGAUAUGUUAAAUGUAUAUAUUUAUUGUAACCUUUUAACAUGGGGGAUUUUAACAGUAAUUCCUAUAUUGGUAUCCCCACGUGCAUAAUGGCGAUUUGCCUUUGUCCUGGGAGAUAAUUGAAUUACUUUUCAAUUAUCUCCAGGGCAGAGGGGAGGAAGCCAGGAUGCAUUGUGGGAAUAUAUUGUAACUGUAUGUCCUAAAUUGAUACUUGUCUGUCCUUUGUUACAGUCUCCCAUUUGGUCCCCUAGGAGACCUGCAUAAAUACUGGGCAGGUAGCCCUCAUUAAAACAGACCACUGCUUGACCCUCAACACGGAGCCUUGUCUCGUCCUUGGGGGGAUUUACUGUAUGCUGAUAGAGACUGAUUGCUAGGAGUGUAAGCCGCUUGGGUGCUUUUCCUAUUCGUCUGCUAGCAGCUAUUCGUGAGGUUCCAGUUCAGGAGUUUGGAGUGCUAUCUUGUAUCCAGUUCGGGAGUUUAGAGCAUUCCCUUAUAUGUGGUUCGGGAGUUAGGUGUUCUGCAGUAGCUGUGCCUGUAUCUCUGGAAGGGGAAGAUCUUCUAAACAGCGGUUUAACCCUUUUAUGCUGAGGGUGCCUUUACAGUUACAAUUAGAGCAAGGGUUAGGUUUAGAAGUAGAGGAAGGAUUAGGAUUUGAUCAUGAUUACAAAAAAGAGUUGGGUUUAGGAUUAGAGCUAGAAUUAGGGUUACAAUUAGCAUGAGGAUUAGGUUUAGAAGUAAAGCUAGGAUUAGAGCUAUAAAGUGAUACACAGACACAGUAUCCCCCUUUCACUCAAACAUUAUAGAUAUGUCUGUUAGAUGUAUAUGUAGGUGACGAUUAAGUUGCAGUAAGACCAAAUAAAUGAAUCUCCCCUAAAUUUGAUGCACAUUUAGACAUUCCUGCUAUACAUCACUUGUAUAUCGUACAUUGAAUCUCGAAAAAUCUGCCCUGAUAAUUUAGUCAAAAUCCUGGUAAUUCAAUGAUCUUCCAGUUACAGGGAUACAUACAGAAACACACAUACACAUAAAACACCCCAAAACCCCAUUAAAUCCACAUGGGAACCCCACAUGUCCUAUAUCCCCUGAUAGCCCGGACCCAAGCACCCAGGUUGUCCAAAUAAUGCUCAGAUCCAUUCAGUGUAAAAGUUUUGACUGGCCUUAUAGUUCACUGAGUUUCUUUCCCUGAAGAGUGCUCUCCUGGCUUGUCUGUAGGAGGAGCAGGCGGCUGUAUAUAUCAACCUUUUUCGAAACCCGUCACAGACUGCAGGAGCCAAGGCCAUAUCAGGACUGAGGUCAAAACAACCUGGCUGUCAGGAAAUAGGCAAACAAUAUAAAACAAACACUCAUAUGAAGGGGGAGAAGCCGAAUUGACCUUCGAAGCACAGAAAAACGGCAAUUGCUGAAACUACCUUCAGAUGUAUAGGAUAGAGGAAGGGGUUACAAAACCUUAAUCAAAUUUAAAAAGAAAACUAAUAUCAAAUACCCACAGGUAUACAUUCAUCUAGACCUGUGGAUGAAACUCCUGCCCUUGUGCAGCAUGCUCUUUGUAGGAUGUUCACUGUGGCAAACCUAGCCACUUGGACAAUAUAAAGAGACUGUACCUUUAAGGGUUGCUUGUGGCGCUUGUUAACCAAUUGCAACAAUGUUAUUAGAGGCUCUCCUAGGUGGCCACCGUUCGACUACCGACCAUGCGGCAGUCGGCCAUCUUGGAUCCUUUGUUCCCUCAGCGGUGUUUGGUCGUUGAGUGCGUGGUACUAAAAACGGCUACUCGACGGCGCGAACACCGCUGAGCCUCCAGGACGUUCGGGAGGUCCGGGACAUUCGGUAUUUUAUUCCCUAUACUUCAAUCGGUCUUUUGAAUGUGUGUUUUAAUAAAUGUGUUUUUCGUGCGGCGUUCAGUUGUUUUAGCUGGGAUCUGAGCGGUAAUCUCACGAAUGAUGCGCUCAGACCCCAGCUAUCUACCAAAUGCCCAUUCGUGCAAAUAGACCAAAUAGUCGAAGAACUGUACAUUUUAAGGUAAAUUGCCGGUUCUGCUGCACGGAGGGAUAAUCCACUUAACGGUACAUUCCAGUGGGAGGAUCCCUCUCGUGCAGCAGUGCCUGAUGGGGGAAAGGCUCUGUACAUUAAGUUCCCCACGUAGUCCACUCUGGGAAUGCCCCUGGGAUGUGACUCAGGAAACCCCUUGCAUGGGAAAUUGUAGAAAUUGUGGAGCCUGUGAAUAAAGCCUUCAGUUGACUCUCAGACCUGUGUUUCGUCCGGUUACUGGGAGAUUUGGGAUAUUGCCUUGCUUUUCAGUGCUUGACUGUGGAUUACUUUCUGCCCCAGCGGAAUUCGUGGAUUUAAUACUGCCGAUCCGCUACAUUCACUUAGGGUAUAGCCAGUGUCGUGGGUCUCUAAUCCUCAGCCACGGUAUGAGAAACCAUAGACACAGAAAAGGUUUAAUGUGUCUCUGUAGGAGAUGUUGCUUGUUGUAACGGCCACCUUGAGUGUCAGAGGGGUGUGUGGCGAAAGUAACCUCGCUACUGGUUUUUGGAGGGGCCUGUUUGCCAGCCUCCUACCCUGGGACUAUGGGCCCUGUGAUAACCCAUGUUCAAAAGUACUGUUUCUGCCCAUUGGACUUUUAACUGGAACAGAUUCAAACAUGUGGCAAUGGCCAUCUUAAAUUGUCCAGCAGUGUUUUGUCUUGAGUGUAUGGAACUGUUUUGGGCAUGGGACCAUGUGUACGGUGGGGCAAAAAUAAGACUUCCAGGAAAUUCCUGAACCUUUGAACCGAUCUGGGUGAUUUUUGGAUAUGUUGUUCACCCAGAUCGGGGCUAUCUUUUGUGGAGAUAUGUGUUUUGGGGUACUUUUGGGACUUUAUAGAAAUGUGUUUUUUCUGCCUGAAGAUAAUUGGGUUAAUACAGUAACUUACUCAAUUAUCUUCCUGGCAUAGGGGAAGGAUUGUAUGCUAUAUGUGGGAGUGUUGUGCACUGGAACACUGUUCUUAUUGAUCUGUGAAUAUUGUAACUCAGUUCCCCUACAUGUGGGCGUACCCCUUUGUGGGGAUAUGUUGUAUUAUGGGGUACUUUUCGGGGUUUGUAAAAAAUUAUGUUUUUUCUGCUUAGAGUUAAUUGAGUUAGUCCAUUGUCUUUGUUAAUUAUAUCACAGGCAGAGGGGAGGGAUUGUGUACACUGUAUGGGAGUUGUUACAGUUACCUCCAGGCUAGCUGGAAGCUGGACCGCUUGGAUAGUCUGGUUCCCCGAUGUAGAGAGAGAGAAGAGCCGAUCCAGUCAGUAUACCACAGAAUCCUGUAAAUGUAGGAUAAUCCCACUAGCUAUGGUACAGCUAGGAUAACCUUUUACCCACAAAACGAGUCGAGGCUGCGAUUUGAGGGUCAAGAAAGAACUGGCUUUAAUGGCACACAGGUAUCACUAUUUAUGCGAAAUCUCAGGUCCCCUCUGGACCUGAUGGUAUACAGGGACAAUGCAAGCAGUUAACCAAUAGAAACACAAUGUAUCUUUUGAAAUUGUUACCGCCCAGCUUGGAGAUAAUGAAUCCAACGCUUAUGACAAUGUAAUUAUCUCCAAGCGCCCCAAAUCCCACGUUUUCUUGCGACAUACAAAACAGUAUAAAAUACAUAACUUUAGCAUUUUAAUAGACAAUUCGUGCAUUCUACCGUUCAUUAUGUAGCCCAGAUCUGAGCUCAGCAGAUAGUUGAAUAGCACUCAGAACUCACGAACGGUAUGGUUAGUUCCAUCAAUAUAAAGUCUGUUCAUGUCUUUUGUCCCGAACCUGAGACGGCGGCCAUGUUUUCAGGUAAGUUAAUGGGCAGCGGGACCUCGACCCCAAACUCAUGGAACGAAUAGCGGCCAGGGGUUUACACGAAUCCCUGAUCUCCUGAUGGUUGUCCCAACCAUUCAGGAAACGAACGUAGACCGCCGGGGAGGGGUACUUAACCUUCGGUUAACCGCAAAACCAACAUUCUAAUUGGGGCCAUACGCCAGGAUGUAGGUGGUCCUCGUUCGUGAGUCUUUCGGUAGUUUUAGUUCGGGAAAUAGUGCACGAACGGGAAUGCCCUGGGACCGUCAAUUAGGCUGUGGUUAACAGCAGACCGCAGCUCUCUUGGCGAUUAAUUAGAGACACGCUACGCUCGUAGGGUGGUCGCUGUUCGGGUAUUGGAAAGGUGACAAGGGUUAAGUGGCGGCACACGCCAGGGGCCGGGUGGUCCGUUGUUCGUAUACACGAAUGGGUAACGGGAAAUCGGUCCGGGAAUUAGGCUACAUGGUUAAAAUACUGAAAUAAGGUUCUGUGUGGAAACAGAAAAGAGCAAUAUUGUAACAGUCUGUAGAGCUUUUGUAACAGGAGUGACUGAAUGUAAAACUAUGUUUUUAUUGGCUUGUUGUUCCUGUGUCCCUGUGCCCCACAAGGUCCACCUGGGUGGUAACCUUGUGGGGAAAUCUGUAUAAAAGACCAAGCUGUUCAAUAAACCCUCAGAUCUGCUGAGUUCCUGUUUUACCCUUGCCUCAUGUGUGGGGAGGAAAGGCUGCAUCUACCCUGGGGAUUGCUAUAUCACUAUACUCCCCAGGGAUAAUAAUCACUAAGCUCUUUUAAGAGCUUGUUCCUGCUACUCUCUCUUGGAGGAGAGGUUCACCCACUGGAACCUGGAGCCUUGUUGUAGGUCCAGGGUGGGUAGAGGACGGCGAGUUCCCAGCCAAGCUGUAACGAUUGAUGUGGGGACUGCGGUGCUCAUGGUGUCUGGUGGAGUGCUUGGAGUUCUCGGUGAGCACUAGGAGUAUCCGUCAGCGGAGGUACCCAUCCAGGGUACAGGAAGCUCCGUUACAGGGUGUAUGCCUUUCGAGACGUCCUUUUCCCUUUAGAGGAGCUGUGCUGCAGAUUCUCCAGUUGUCAUCUCAGCCGAACCAGUAGUUGAAGGUAUAGUAGAGCUCUUACAAGAGCUAGUGAUAAGCUGUGAAGCAGGUUCCCUACAAGCACGAGACAAAGCUAUGUGUUGAGGGUUGAGCAGAACUAAUUUUUAAUGGGGCCAGGCUGGCCUUUUAUGCAAUUAUUCCCAAAAGGUUACCACCCAGGUGGACCUAGUUGGGCACAGGGAAAAACAGUGUACAACUAAUAAACAGUAAAUCGCAUUAUGAAACACUCCCAUUCAUUACACACAAUUCCUCCCCUCUGCUUAGGAGAUUAUUGAGUUAAUUACUGUAUCAAAUCAAUUAUCUCCAAACGAAAAAAUGAAAAUGUUUCCCAUUUUCAGAAAUACCCCAAACAUUACAUCCAAACCCCAUAAAACAUAUAUUUUCUGAUAGUUAGGGGAACAACAUAUCAAAAAUCAUGCAAAUCGGUUAAGGUGUUCGGGAGUUAGCUGGAAGUCCCAUUUCUGCCCGGCCGCACACGAUGCUCCUGCCCAGAAUAGUACCAUGAAAUGUCGAACAAACAGUUCACAUAAUCGUUUGUGCGUUUGAUGGUCGUGUGCCGCUUCUAUUGUAUAUAGUUUCUACCGAAUGCCACCUUCUUCGGAUGGAUUAUCAUGAAUAUAAGUGGUCCUGGAAGUCUCAGUGGUGUUCGGGAGAUCGAGUGUCCGAAAUUAGUUCCAGACUCGACGACCAAAUCCCUCUGGUAAACAAACCCAUUGAGUACAGUUUAUUUGUUUGAAUUCGUAUGACGGUUUAGGUGAAGGGUAUUGUAAUAAUUAGUUCAGAGCAGCAACUAAAUUAUAAAUCCAACAAACAGGGCAUCUAUUACACUUGGUUAUGGAGAAAGGAUAUGGAUUGCUUUGGCUCAUCUUCUGGUCUGUACACUAGCCCAGUCCCAAUGUCCAGGUUAAUACUAUUGCAGCUUCCUAAAAGAAAACUAUAUAUUCCUAACAAUGCAAGCUGUACAGUAAGCAUCAUGGGAAUUACUUGUCAAGGUAAACAAUUAUACAGUCAUUCCCAUGACCAAAGUUUGUAAAGAAAGAAAAACAACGUUAAGGAUACCGAUAAAAUGAUAAAAAUAACCUAGGUAGAACAUAAAUGCAGUGUGAGGGUCAGCCUGCCCUCCUCGGGGUCCAGGCUACCCAGGUAUCUAAUAAAAUCUCUUGUUUGAGUGAUAAAAGCCUUUGAAUCGUCCUUUUUAUCUAGCUAAGGGGUAGGGGUUUUGUAGUGUAACACUUUCAGACAAGGAAGCACCGCCUGUUGGGUUGUGUUCUUCAGAUCUGCUAAGCUGAUAGGUAAUGUUAUGUUGCUGGAGAGAUUGCUAACAGGGAAGUGUGGAGUACUUCCUAGGGAGUGACCCUACCUCCGGACCGGUCCCUCCGAGUUUAGUGGAUCCCAAUAUAUUGGACUAGGUCUCUAGAGGGAUAUGUUCUGUCUAGGGGCCUUCUUCCUUGUCUAGUAUCGGGCUAAGUGCGUGCUCCUGUGAGUAUAAAGACAGUGGUGCUGUUGGAGCCAAUAGUGCAUCUCAACUGCCCCACCCAAAGUUUUGUAUGUGACUGAUAGGACCUGUCUGUAUGUGAUUGGACAUUAUUACUGCUGCUCGGGGUCAGUGGUGUGCAACACUAAGUAAACAUUCAACAGUGAGGGUUUGUUAAAACGUUAAAAUAAAGGGGACACAAAUCAAAACAUGUUAGCGUCCAGGAGAUCCCCAGUAAUAAGUUGCUCAUUUUCAAGUGGUGGCAGCUGCAUACAAAUCAGAGGUGCGCUGUCGUGGGACAAAAGGGGGGAUGCUCGCAGGGUCCCAGAAGUGAGAGUGUUGCGGUGUCGUAGACUGUUUGUCUCGGGUGAGUGCAUCUGGGGGUUUUGGUAUCAGUCCGGCAGCCUCUUGAACGUUGUGAAUAGCAUGCGGAGUGUCCCCCUGAUGCACUACUAAUGUGCGAAAGAGUUUCCAUUCCAUAUCGGAUAUUGUUCCGUUGCAGGAGCGUGGUGAAUGACUUGAACGAGUUCCUCCAAGCUAAGGUACCCACGAGAGGUCAGCGUAGAAGGGGAGGGGCAUAUUCUCGUAAUGGUAAGGUGAGUUUCCUCUUAAAGCAGUCAGGACCGCUGUUUUGUCUGACCCGUUUCUGAAGCGGACCACCAGGUCCCUGGAAGCUGUGUUCGGGGCUUUGAGGGGUUAGGGUAUGUGGAAUUGUCCUUCAGUCACCACUGCUUUAGCCUGCCGGGGUUGUACCUCACAAAGUGUGGCAGUUCUGUGUCAGGGAUCUCCUCCGAUAACCCACGCACCUUUAGAUUAUUUUGGCGCCGGGAGUCUUUCUCAUGGAGCUGGUUUUGGUGCUGUAGUUCCGGCACUGCUUGCUGGAGCGACUUUAUGUGUUGGGUGCUCUGCUGAUGCGGCACAUGAGGCCCCCCAGGUCCCCGGGGAUUGUUGCUAUGUCCGCCGAGAUAUUUCUCUGGAGUUUGGCCAGCAUCUCCUGUAGUAUUGAUUUUGUCUGUAUAGAUGUGUCUGGGCCCUCUGCUCUCCCUCUCCCAGCUCUCUGGUGCUGGUGGGUACUCCUCUUCGGCUCCAAAUGAGUAGCCUCCGGAGACUCUUGGGCCCAGUUGCAGAUCGCAGAUUUUUAGCCCCAGACUGGGCUUGUCUGGUCUGGGCUUCUUGGUUUUGCAUCCUAUCUUAGUCUUAAUGACAAGGGGGGUCCUGCAAAACACUGAGUGCAGUUAUAUAGGCAGUAUUGCCCAAUUUUAGUCGUUAUUGUUGGAAGCUCUAGGAUCAUGCGACCAGUCGCUACAGCAGCCAUGCUCCGCCGGGACAUUGUCUUUUAAGGUAACUAUCUAGUAAAUUCUCCUUGAAUCAAGCUCCCUAGAGAAGAGGUAGACACCAGUUCUAAAAGGCUGAUUCUAGGCCAUCGACAGCUUAAGGUGUAAACAGAAGACAUUGAGCCACAUAGCACAUUGCAGUCAGGCCCACGCUAGAUACAGGCCAUUGAAUAGACUUGGGAAGAGUAUGAGGUACAGAAUGACCUGCAUUCCAAAUAUCUGCAUUAGUGAGUUAAAUUACACCAAUAGUGGUGAUGGUGUUAAUUUGUACCAGUAAACAUGUUAUUACGUUGAUGUUUUCAGUCUUGUUACCUCUUCUCCCUGGGCAUUAAAAAGGCACAGAGAACACAAGGGAACUGGGAAUUAUUAAGAAUAACAUUUUUUUUCUUUACAGUUGAGGUCAAAAUGGCCUCUCCACACAGAGUUUUGUGCUUGGAGACCCUGAGUCCAUCCAUCACAAAUAUCAACGUCCCCAUCUUAGGAUCGGUGACACAACGAGCGAUGGACAUCAAAAGGGAAAUAGAGGAGGUAAGAGAGGAUAUAGCAGAGGGGGGACAAUU